AUGGGUCGGCAGCCGCCGCUGCCCCCCGCCGCGGCCGCCCUGUUCUGGGGCUUCCUGCUCCCUCUGACAGCUGCUCAUGAAGCAAUCCUCCAUGCCUCUGGAAAUGGCACGCCUUCACUAUCUAAGGACUACUGCAUGCUAUGUAACCCUCACUGGACAUCUCUUCCAAGUACCCUAGAAAAUGCAACUUCCACUAGUUUGAUGAAUCUGACUACCACACCACUCUGCACCAUUUCUGAUAUUCCUCCAGAUGGAAUAAAGAACAAAGCAGUUGUGGUACAGUGGGGAACCUGCCGUUUUCUGGAAAAAGCCAAAAUUGCACGAACAGGAGGUGCUGAAGCUUUGUUGGUUGCCAACAACAGUGUCCCAUUUCCUCCCUCAGGGAACAAAUCUGAGUAUCCUGAUGUGAAAAUAUUGACUGCAUUUAUAAACCAUAAGGACUUUAAAGGUACGAAGCAGACUCUGGGAGAUAACACUGUUGUGAACAUGCGUUCUCCAUCCGGCCUAACGCUGACUAUACCAUGGUGGUUACUUCUGUAACUGUUGUGCUCACCGUGGGAUUAGGACAAUACUGGAGCGGGCUCAUCGAAUUGGAAAACAUGAAGGCAAUGACAAACACUGAGGAUAGAGAAGUGAGGAAAACGAAGGAAGAAUAUUUUACUUUUAGUCCUCUAACAGUUAUAAUAUUUGUGGUCAUCUGCUGUAUUAUGAUGGUCUUACUUUAUUUCUUCUACAAAUGGUUGGUUUAUGUUAUGACAGCAAUUUUCUGCAUAGCAUCAGCGAUGAGUCUGUACAACUGUCUUGCUGCACUAGUUCGUAAGAUACAAUGGGGACGAUGCACAAUUACCUGUUGUGCAAGAGCUUUGAAGUGAGAAUUUUCUCUCUGGACUGUGCAUAGCAGUAGUUGUUGUUUGGGCUGUAUUUCGAAAUGAAGAUAGGUGGGCUUGGAUUUUACAGGAUAUCUUGGGGAUUGUUUUCUGUCUGAAUUUAAUUAAAACACUGAAGUUACCCAACUUCAAGUCAAGUGUGAUACUUCUGGGCCUUCUCCUCUAUGAUGUAUUUUUUGUUUUCGUAACACCAUUCAUCACAAAGAAUGGUGAGAGUAUCAUGGUUGAACUUGCAGCUGGACCUUUUGGAAAUAAUGAAAAGUUACCAGUAGUCAUCAGGGUACCAAAACUGGCCUAUUUCUCAGUAAUGAGUGUGUGUCUCAUGCCAGUUUCAAUACUGGGUUUUGGAGACAUCAUUGUACCAGGCCUGUUGAUUGCAUACUGUAGAAGAUUUGAUGUUGACAUUGGUUCUUCAAUAUACUAUGUUUCCUCCACAAUUGCCUAUGCCAUUGGCAUGAUUCUUACAUUUGUUGUUCUGGUGCUGAUGAAAAAGGGGAAACCUGCUCUCCUAUAUUUAGUACCUUGCACACUUAUUACUGCCUCAUUUGUUGCCUGGAGACGAAAGGAAAUGAAGAAGUUCUGGAAAGGUAACAGCUAUCAGAUGAUGGACCAUCUGGACUCUGCAACAAAUGAAGAAAACCCUGGGACUGUUGGUGAACAGAGGUCCAACAAUAAUAUUAUGUGGACGUGCAAUAAUGUGUCGAUUGAUUUUCUACAAAUAGAGUUUGACUUUUUAAAUUGACUUUUGAAUUGACAAUCUGAAAGAAACUUCAAAGAUAUGCUUGCAAAUAUGUAUCUGUAAGAGCUGGUACUGACAAUUACAUGAUAAAUAAUUAAAAUA